rnacentral:rRNA from 1 species
AACGAACGCUGGCGGCAUGCCUUACACAUGCAAGUCGAACGCGAAAGUGUCUUCGGACAUUAGUAGAGUGGCAAACGGGUGAGUAACGCGUGGGAAACUACCUUAUAGUACGGAAUAGCCUUGGGAAACUGGGAUUAAUACCGUAUAUUCCCUCAGGGGGAAAGAUUUAUCGCUAUAAGAUGUGCCCGCGUCAGAUUAGCUAGUUGGUGGGGUAAUAGCCUACCAAGGCAACGAUCUGUAGCUGGUCUGAGAGGACGAUCAGCCACACUGGGACUGAGACACGGCCCAGACGCCUACGGGAGGCAGCAGUGGGGAAUAUUGGACAAUGGACGCAAGUCCGAUCCAGCAAUGCCGCGUGAAUGAUGAAGGCCUUAGGGUUGUAAAGUUCUUUAAGUGGGGAAGAUAAUGACGGUACCCACAGAAUAAGCACCGGCUAACUUCGUGCCAGCAGCCGCCGUAA